rnacentral:lncRNA from 1 species
GACCAUUAUCGAUAAUUACUUAUCGAUUAUCGAUUUGUACAUAUAUUUAUCGUUAUCGAUUCAAUAAAGUUUCGAUUUUUUCGAUUUUGAUUUAUCGAUUUUUGAGGCUUAUCGAUUCGAUUAUCGAUUACACCAAUAAGAAAAUUUGUGGCAUUCCACGGAAAUUGUAUCGCUAUAAACACGCCUAACUAAUAUGGACAAAAAGAAGCUAAAAUAAAACAAAC